AGUGGGGGAUAACGUAGCGAAAGUUACGCUAAUACCGCAUAUGCCCUGAGGGGGAAAGGGGGGGAUCGCAAGACCUCUCGCUUUCGGAGUGGCCGAUAUCGGAUUAGCUAGUAGGUGAGGUAAAGGCUCACCUAGGCGACGAUCCGUAGCUGGUCUGAGAGGACGACCAGCCACACUGGGACUGAGACACGGCCCAGACUCCUACGGGAGGCAGCAGUGGGGAAUUUUGGACAAUGGGGGCAACCCUGAUCCAGCCAUGCCGCGUGAGUGAAGAAGGCCUUCGGGUUGUAAAGCUCUUUCAGCUGGAAAGAAAACGUACUUAUUAAUACUAGGUGCGGAUGACGGUACCAGCAGAAGAAGCACCGGCUAACUACGUGCCAGCAGCCGCGGUAAUACGUAGGGUGCGAGCGUUAAUCGGAAUUACUGGGCGUAAAGCGUGCGCAGGCGGCUUUUUAAGCCAGAUGUGAAAUCCCCGGGCUUAACCUGGGAACUGCAUUUGGAACUGGAAGGCUAGAGUGUAGCAGAGGGGGGUAGAAUUCCA
rnacentral:rRNA from 1 species